CAUGAUGGUAUGAGAGCUCCUGACUACCUCGAUGAGUCCCACACAGUCACCAAUAGACAAACAACCAUAAGGCAACAUCCUGAAAGAUGAAGGUUUUUUUUUAAAGUUAAGUUUUAAGACAGCAAGCAACAGACCUACACAGAGAGGAAGAACAGUUAUAGCUUAAAGACAAGAUCACUUAGAGGUGCCAAAAAUGAAGCUAUAGCUGUAACAUCAUCCCAAUGACACAUCUUACCGAGAGCUGCUUAUAGAGCCAUCCUUUUCAGAAAAGGCUCAGAUACAUGGAAUUGCUUAUCUGACCACAAACAGCAGCUCAACGGAAACAAACAGAAGGACUUAAGAUGUGUUUUUGACAGUGUUAAUAGCAUUUAGCUUCCUUCUGAAAC